rnacentral:rRNA from 1 species
GAUGAACGCUGGCUACAGGCUUAACACAUGCAAGUCGAGGGGAAACGACGGGGAAGCUUGCUUCCCCGGGCGUCGACCGGCGCACGGGUGAGUAACGCGUAUCCAACCUGCCUCUGACUGAGGGAUAACCCGUCGAAAGUCGGCCUAAUACCUCAUGGCAUCGUCUGCGGGCAUCCAACGACGAUUAAAGAUUUCAUCGGUCAGGGAUGGGGAUGCGUCUGAUUAGCUGGUUGGCGGGGUAACGGCCCACCAAGGCGACGAUCAGUAGGGGUUCUGAGAGGAAGGUCCCCCACAUUGGAACUGAGACACGGUCCAAACUCCUACGGGAGGCAGCAGUGAGGAAUAUUGGUCAAUGGGCGGGAGCCUGAACCAGCCAAGUAGCGUGCAGGAUGACGGCCCUAUGGGUUGUAAACUGCUUUUAUGCGGGGAUAAAGUGAGGGACGUGUCCUUCAUUGCAGGUACCGCAUGAAUAAGGACCGGCUAAUUCCGUGCCAGCAGCCGCGGUAAUACGGAAGGUCCGGGCGUUAUCCGGAUUUAUUGGGUUUAAAGGGAGCGUAGGCCGUGGAUUAAGCGUGUUGUGAAAUGCAGGUGCUCAACGUCUGCACUGCAGCGCGAACUGGUCCACUUGAGUGUGCGCAACGCAGGCGGAAUUCGUCGUGUAGCGGUGAAAUGCUUAGAUAUGACGAAGAACUCCGAUUGCGAAGGCAGCUUGCGGGAGCACAACUGACGCUGAAGCUCGAAAGUGCGGGUAUCGAACAGG